GCGGGGGUGGCGGAGUCCGGUCAAACGUGUAGGGUUCAGGUCCCUAUGGCUAGUGCCUGCGAGGGUUCAAAUCCCUCCUCCCGCA
rnacentral:tRNA from 1 species